CGUGUAGGCGGUUUGAUUAGUCUGAUGUGAAAGCCCUGGGCUCAACCCAGGAAGUGCAUUGGAAACUGUCAGACUUGAAUACGGGAGAGGGUAGUGGAAUUCCUAGUGUAGGAGUGAAAUCCGUAGAUAUUAGGAGGAACACCGGUGGCGAAGGCGGCUACCUGGACCGAUAUUGACGCUGAGACGCGAAAGCGUGGGUAGCAAACA
rnacentral:rRNA from 1 species